GGGAUAACUAGUCGAAAGAUUAGCUAAUACCGCAUACGACCUGAGGGUGAAAGUGGGGGACCGCAAGGCCUCAUGCUAUAGGAGCGGCCGAUGUCUGAUUAGCUAGUUGGUGAGGUAAAGGCUCACCAAGGCGACGAUCAGUAGCUGGUCUGAGAGGACGAUCAGCCACACUGGGACUGAGACACGGCCCAGACUCCUACGGGAGGCAGCAGUGGGGAAUUUUGGACAAUGGGCGAAAGCCUGAUCCAGCAAUGCCGCGUGUGUGAAGAAGGCCUUCGGGUUGUAAAGCACUUUUGUCCGGAAAGAAAUGGCUCUGGUUAAUACCUGGGGUCGAUGACGGUACCGGAAGAAUAAGGACCGGCUAACUACGUGCCAGCAGCCGCGGUAAUACGUAGGGUCCAAGCGUUAAUCGGAAUUACUGGGCGUAAAGCGUGCGCAGGCGGUUGUGCAAGACCGAUGUGAAAUCCCCGAGCUUAACUUGGGAAUUGCAUUGGUGACUGCACGGCUAGAGUGUGUCAGAGGGGGGUAGAAUUCCACGUGUAGCAGUGAAAUGCGUAGAGAUGUGGAGGAAUACCGAUGGCGAA
rnacentral:rRNA from 1 species